rnacentral:siRNA from 1 species
UUUGAACUUCUGUCCGGGUCUGGA